rnacentral:lncRNA from 12 species
CUGGGGCCUCCCGUCCGCUCCUGCCGCGUGCCAGACGCUGCCCGCCCGGGAGGCUCUGGGCGCCCGCGUUGUAACCCCCCAACCCGGGGCGGGGCAGCAGGACCCUCACGCGCCUCCUGGGGGCGCUCUCAGGCCUCGCCGUCCAUCUGGGCAGCGUUCUCAGGACCCGGAAGGCGCGACUGCAGGAGGGAGCUGCUGGGCCCAGGUGCGCGGCCCAGGUGCGCGGCCCAGGGGAAAUCAUGUUAAUGGAAAUAAGCAUAUGUCUCCAGAUCCAAAAGCCAGAACUUACGGGGCAAUGAUAAAAGAAAUCAGAGGGAAGAAAGAAGGAGAAAGUUGGGUCAGCCCUGCCAAAGCAGGAUACACAAAAUAUGGAACUGCGAGUACAAUAAUUUGAGUGAGCUGCAACAGCAUUAUAAGGAUGGUUCAAGGGCGGAGGAGUUUGCAACAACCUAUGAUCUUCAAACCUGCAAGCUGGCCCAGAUUCCACUGGGUCAGCUCAGUGCUGACC